UGUAGUUUAAUUUGAAGCAGAAGAAAGAACCUUGCCAGGUCUUGCCAUGCCGCUGACCGCUCUGGAGACAGAGCUUCCCUUCGGGGCAGCGGUGACAGGUGGUGCAUGGUUGUCGUCAGCUCGUGUCGUGAGAUGUUGGGUUAAGUCCCGCAACGAGCGCAACCCUUAUCUUUAGUUGCCACCAUUCAGUUGGGCCCCCUAGAGAGACUGCCGUCGCCAAGACGGAGGAAGGCGGGGAUGACGUCAAAUCAUCAUGCCCCUUAUGACCUGGGCUACACACGUGCUACAAUGGUUGGUACAACGGGAUGCUACCUCGCGAGGGGACGCCAAUCUCUUAAAACCAAUCUCAGUUCGGAUUGUAGGCUGCAACUCGCCUACAUGAAGUCGGAAUCGCUAGUAAUCGCGGAUCAGCAUGCCGCGGUGAAUACGUUCCCGGGCCUUGUACACACCGCCCGUCACACCACGGGAGUUUGCAACACCCGAAGUCGGUGAGGUAACCGCAAGGAGCCAGCCGCCGAAGGU
rnacentral:rRNA from 1 species